rnacentral:misc_RNA from 1 species
GAUGAAGAACGCAGCGAAAUGCGAUAAGUAAUGUGAAUUGCAGAAUUCAGUGAGUCAUCGAAUCUUUGAACGCACAUUGCGCCCGUCAGUAUUCUGGCGGGCAUGCCUGUUCGAGCGUCAUUACGCCCCUCAAGUCCCCUGUGGACUUGGUGUUGGGGAUCGGCGAGGCUGGUUUUCCAGCACAGCCGUCCCUUAAAUUAAUUGGCGGUCUCGCCGUGGCCCUCCUCUGCGCAGUAGUAAAACACUCGCAACAGGAGCCCGGCGCGGUCCACUGCCGUAAAACCCCCCAACUUUUUAUAGUUGACCUCGAAUCAGGUAGGACUACCCGCUGAACUUAAGCAUAUCAAUAAGCGGAGGA